rnacentral:lncRNA from 1 species
AUGAAAUGCCUUCUCAGUGCUCUCCAGAACAGUCCCAGGUGUCUCAGCCUUUCCUCAUAAAGGAGAUGUUCCAGAGCCCUCAUCUUUGUGGACCUCUGCUAGACUCUCUAGAAGCUCCAAGUCUUUCUUGAACUGAGGAACCCAAAACUGGACACAGUAUUCUAAAUGCAGUCUCACCAGGGCAGAGCAGGGAGGAUCACCUUCCUCAGCCUGCAGCCCACACUAUUUUUAAUGCGUCUCUGGAUACCUCUGGCUUUCUUGAUCACAAGGGAUUACUGUGACCAGGAGUGAGACAAGGAGAGUGUUUUUUCUGUUGGAAGCAAAGCUUGCUGUCUCAGUUCUUUAUUGGACUGUAAAAUUUCCAGGAACUGCCCAUCUUUGCUACAGACGCACACUGCUCAGCCUUCAGUGUGUCAGGCUGCUCUUCAGAAUGACUCCCAGUGCAGAAUUGAUGUUCUCAGGACUACAGUCAUACUCUGCUGCUGCAGGUAAAAAUAUACAUCAACAUUAUCAGUGAGAAGAAAACAUUUAGCUUAAUUGUAGAGACUAAUUCAGUUCUCUUCCACUUGAGGUAGCUGAUAUUUCCUUAAAAAUCCUGUUUAUGAUUGUAAGCAAAAGCAUUCAAAAGCUCUGAGUCUGACCAAAUUGUUGUGGUGGGUCAAGCAAUACCAAGGAGCACUUCUCAUGAAUUAAUUCCGUGUCACCAUGCUGUUUAUACAAUAAAGAGCAGUAAGGUUUGCCUGGAGACUAGGAAUGUGUCACCUCUCUUUGAAAAUCAUUUGAAAAUUAACGUGCCUUUAAUUUUACAUUCCCUUGG